rnacentral:piRNA from 1 species
UGGGCUGACCAGGAGCAGUGGUUCGGCA